ACGAACCACCCAAACGUUAUUCGGAAUUACUGGGCUUAAAGGGUGCGUAGGCGGCGCGGAAAGUCAGAUGUGAAAUCCCUCGGCUUAACCGAGGAACUGCGUUUGAAACUACCGUGCUUGAGUAAGACAGAGGUAAGCGGAACUUCGGGUGGAGCGGUGAAAUGCGUUGAUAUCCGAAGGAACACCGGUGGCGAAAGCGGCUUACUGGGUCUUUACUGACGCUGAUGCAUGAAAGCUAGGGGAGCAAACGGGA
rnacentral:rRNA from 1 species